AACGAACGCUGGCGGCAGGCUUAACACAUGCAAGUCGAACGGAGAGGCCCUGCUUUUGUGCGGUGGUCGGAUUGCGACCGGGUGAGUAACCCGUGAGUAACCUGCCCUUGACUUUGGGAUAACUUCAUGCAACUGGGGCUCAUACCGGAUAGGAGCUCCUGCUGCAUGGUGGGGGUUGGAAAGAUUCGGCGGUUGGGGAUGGACUCGCGGCUUAUCAGCUUGUUGGAGGGGUAGUGGCUUAGCAAGGCUUUGCCGGGUAGCCGACCUGGGAGGGUGACCGGCCCCAUUGGGACGGAGAUGCGGCCCAGACCACAACGGUACGCAGGAGUGGGGAAUAGUGCACUAGGGGAGGGAGGCAAAUGCAGCAACGCCGCGUGGGGGAAGACGGGCAUCGGGUUGGAAACCGCAUUCGCCUGAGACGAAGCGAGAGUGACGGUAACGGGUAAAGAAGCACCGGCUAACUACGUG
rnacentral:rRNA from 1 species